AUGUGGCCCACUUCCAAGUGCAUCUGCGCGCCGGCCACCCACGACGGGUCCUUCAAGUGCCGCUUCCACCGCACCAACUCCCAGGGCCAGGGAAGCCGCCCUUCUUCGCCCCCUUCACCGGCCGCGGCCAACGCGGUGCCGCGGCACCCAGCCUCGCCGUUCUCGUCCUCCGGCACCGUCAUGACCCAGUGA
rnacentral:rRNA from 1 species